rnacentral:rRNA from 1 species
UACGUAGGGUGCGAGCGUUGUCCGGAUUUAUUGGGCGUAAAGGGCUCGUAGGCGGCCUGUCGCGUCGGGAGUGAAAGCCCACUGCUUAACGGUGGGUCUGCUUCCGGUACGGGCGGGCUGGAGUAUGGCAGGGGAGACUGGAAUUCCUGGUGUAGCGGUGGAAUGCGCAGAUAUCAGGAGGAACACCGGUGGCGAAGGCGGGUCCCUGGACAACUCCUGACACUGAGGCACGAAAGCUAGGGGAGCAAACAGG